rfam:Felis catus isolate Cinnamon breed Abyssinian chromosome A1, whole genome shotgun sequence.
GCCUGGGUGGCUCAGUCGGUUGAGCGUCUGACUUCGGCUCAGGUCACGAUCUCAUGGUUCGUGAGUUCGAGCCCCGCGUCGGGCU